CUCAAGAUGGCUGUGCCUGUCAGCUGCAUGGAGCUUCGUUCAAGUAUUUUCUGAGCCUGAUGGAUUUACAGUGAUCUUCAGUGGUCUGGGGAAUAACGCUGGUGGAACCAUGCACUGGAAUGACACACGCCCGGCACAUUUCAGGAUACUAAAAGUGGUUUUAAGGGAGGCUGUGGCUGAAUGCCUCAUGGAUUCUUACAGCUUGGAUGUCCAUGGGGGACGAAGGACUGCAGCUGGCUGAGAGGGUUGAGAUCUCUGUUUACUUAGAUCUCUGCCAACUUCCUUUGGGUCUCCCUAUGGAAUGUAAGACCCCGACUCUUCCUGGUGAAGCAUCUGAUGCACGUUCCAUCCGGCGCUCAGCUGGGCUUGAGCUGACCAUACUCCCUGGAGCCUUCUCCCGAGGUGCGCGGGUGACCUUGGCACAUACAGCCAUCAUGAUGGUACUUUAAGUGGAGGCUGAAUCAUCUCCCCUUUGAGCUGCUUGGCACGUGGCUCCCUUGGUGUUCCCCUUUUACUGCCAGGACACUGAGAUUUGGAGAGAAUCCUGUUACACCUGGGAUUUAGGCACUUUCAAUCUGAAAAAAUACAUAUCCUUUCAGCACUCUGGACGGACUUGAGAACUGUCCUUACGUGACCUAAAGCUGGAGUAUUUUGAGAUUGGAGAAUUAAGAAGGACAGAAUAACGGGCUCCCAGAUUCACAAGCCCCACCAAGAGGAUCACCCCAGGAACGCUUGGAGGCUGAGGAGUUCACUGAGGCUACUGCAUCUUGAGACUCAGGAUGAAGACCCAGCUUGGGGCUGUCAAAGGUUUUUUGCAUGUCUGACACCCAUGACUCCACCUGGACCUUAUGGCUCCACCCAGAAGCAAUUCAGCCCAACAGGAGGACAGCUUCAACCCAUUACGAUUUCAUCUCUGCCCCAACCACUCAGCAGCAAGCACCUGUUACCUGUCCACCCCCACCCCUUCCCCCAAACUGCCUUUGAAAAAUCCCUAACCUAUGAGCUUUGAAUAAGAUGAGUACGAACUUCAUCGCCCACGUGGCGUGGCCGGCCUCGUGUCUAUUAAAUUCUUUUUCUACUA
rnacentral:lncRNA from 1 species